rnacentral:rRNA from 1 species
UUAAAUUGAAGAGUUUGAUCAUGGCUCAGAUUGAACGCUGGCGGCAGGCCUAACACAUGCAAGUCGAACGGUAACAGGAAGAAGCUUGCUUCUUUGCUGACGAGUGGCGGACGGGUGAGUAAUGUCUGGGAAACUGCCUGAUGGAGGGGGAUAACUACUGGAAACGGUAGCUAAUACCGCAUAACGUCGCAAGACCAAAGAGGGGGACCUUCGGGCCUCUUGCCAUCGGAUGUGCCCAGAUGGGAUUAGCUUGUUGGUGGGGUAACGGCUCACCAAGGCGACGAUCCCUAGCUGGUCUGAGAGGAUGACCAGCCACACUGGAACUGAGACACGGUCCAGACUCCUACGGGAGGCAGCAGUGGGGAAUAUUGCACAAUGGGCGCAAGCCUGAUGC